rnacentral:rRNA from 1 species
UAUGCCUACGGGGCGCAGCAGUGGGGGAUAUUGCACAAUGGGGGGAACCCUGAUGCAGCGACGCCGCGUGGGUGAAGGAGUAUUUCGGUAUGUAAAGCCCUAUCGGCAGGGAAGAAGAAAGACGGUACCUGACUAAGAAGCCCCGGCUAACUACGUGCCAGCAGCCGCGGUAAUACGUAGGGGGCGAGCGUUAUCCGGAUUCACUGGGUGUAAAGGGAGCGUAGAUGGCCAAGCAAGCCAGGGGUGAAAGCCCGGGGCCCAACCCCGGGACUGCCCUUGGAACUGCAUGGCUGGAGUGCGGGAGG